AACGCGAAGAACCUUACCUGGGCUCGAAAUGUAGUGGACCGGAGUAGAAAUAUUCCUUCUCAGCAAUGGGCCGCUAUAUAGGUGCUGCAUGGCUGUCGUCAGCUCGUAUCGUGAGAUGUCGGGUUAAGUCCCUUAACGAGCGCAACCCCUAUCCCUAGUUGCCACCAUUCAGUUGGGCACUCUAUGGAGACCGCCGGCGUUAAGCCGGAGGAAGGCGGGGAUGACGUCAAGUCCUCAUGGCCCUUAUGUCCAGGGCUACACACGUGCUACAAUGGCAGGUACAAAGGGUUGCCAACCAGUAAUGGGGAGCCAAUCUCAGAAAGCCUGUCUCAGUUCGGAUUGAAGUCUGCAAUUCGACUUCAUGAAGCUGGAAUCGCUAGUAAUCGCGGAUCAGAACGCCGCGGUGAAUACGUUCCCGGGCCUUGUACACACCGCGCAUA
rnacentral:rRNA from 1 species